AUCUAAUAUAAAACAAUAAAUAAAUCCCAAAACCGAUUUUAAAAAGUGAAUUCGUUAAGAGCAAAAUUUUCCGGAUAUUAUGGUCAUAUUCCAACUUUUUCUUUUAUAAAAGACUCCAAGUUUGAGCGUAUUCAAGCUUGUUCUUUCUUCUCAAAUUUGACGCUUCUUAGUAUAACCGUGCAAUCGUCUACAAAAACAGGGUUCUUACUAUGAAGGAAAAGAGACCAAGACUUACAAGAUCCCCUUGACGCAUUCCUCUUUGCAAUUCUAACAUUGGGUCUCUUUCGAUAUCAAUGUUUCGAUUUAUGUUGCGUUGGAUAUAAUAUUUUCAAUUGUGUUGCAAUAUAGUUGUGAAAAUCCUAUA
rnacentral:lncRNA from 1 species